rnacentral:lncRNA from 1 species
AUGUUUUCCCCUUGCGCUGGGUCCGACAUCUCAAACUUUUUUUCUCUUCUUAAAUUUUCUUUCAAUUUUUAUAAUAACAUUUAUAAAGAGCACGUCGAACCCGCGACCGAGACCGAGACGCCACACACUCACACAGUCAGUGGGCGAGAGACUCGCAGACCGAAGAAGUGCGGAGCUCAGGAGCCUCUCAGGGGUUCGAGCUCAGCCGACAUCGUCUCACACAGACCGGCGGGGAGACGCCGCACCGCUUUUUCCCAUCUACACACACCCUCUCCUUCACCCAUGGGUGUGAAAGUGCUCCACUGUUUCCCCUGGUACAGACGCUGCAAAGACAGGAGUAAGAGCAGGCAGUGCCCACCUGAGGCAGGGCCUCCUGAAGAGCAGAAGCCACGCCUCACAUCCACAGCCUCAUGGGGGAGCGAGAGCGAAGGUCACGGCACACAUGGCUUCUACACCCACAAAGCCCGCGUCUCCUUCCGGCACCAAAUGGACGGAAACCUCAGCGCCAUCGAUGCCACCUACUAGCUCCUGCACCUUUCUCUGAAACUCCAAGACAUUUCUUUUCCGGAUAGCUAACAGACACAGAAGCACAGGGUUCUCCAAAACCAAACAAGAUGCAUCCUAAAUCAGAUAUUUCUGGUGAAACAAUCACUGCGUCAGCAUAUUGGGCAAAAAAGGUCAGGAAAGUAUGAUUUGGAUCUUCAGAGGAGAAACAGAAGAGGUAUAAAAUGGAGGUUACAUAGAGCAUUGUUUACUUUUACCAACAAGUGCAUUUUCUCUUUUCAAGCAUACUUGUCCUAUUUUUAUUACUUUUGAUUUCAGUGUUGGUUUUAUGAAAAGGUGUGCAAUGCACUCACCUGCACUGGCUGCCUCUGCCUACAAAUGCAGCAGAAUGAGUGCUCUCACCAAAAGAGCUAGUUGGUUCUGAUGCCCUGUGUCUGCACGCAGUUCAGCGAUGCAAGGGUUAAAAUGUAGCAGCUACGGCCAGAAGUCAGCAUGGUCAUAUCGCAAUAGCUAUUGAAAAAGACUAGAAACUCUCCUGAAAUCACCUUCUGCUGCAAGGGUUCACUUUAUUUCAGUGAAGUUUCAGAUUUAAAAAUGUUUUGUCAGCCUUUGUUCUUAGGGUUAUUAGCAGGCAAAGUGUUCUCUUUAAAUGCUGUUUUUUUUUUUUUUUUUUUUUUUGUUUUUUCCAUCCUGUUUUGAAAUGAACUUGUUUAGGUAGGUGAGCAAGGGAAGAAGAUAGGUCAACAUUUUGACAAAAAAAAACCAUGUGCGGAAACACUCAUGCAAAACAAUUAACAGCUUGGUUCCUUGCAAACUCUGUAUGGACUUUUUGGACAGACUAUACAUUUUGAUGAACAAUCCGUUUUUUAAAAUCACUUAAGAGUGUGCUUAGACAAAAAAGUAUACAAAACAAUUAAUAUUUAUCUCACCUUUUGUCUCCCCCACGAUUUCUACACUCUGCAUGGAAACAAUGACAGUGCACUGCUGCUUCAUUUGAAGGGGAUGCAAUACAUUUUUAAAG